UACGUAGGGUGCAAGCGUUAAUCGGAAUUACUGGGCGUAAAGCGCGCGUAGGCGGCUUUGCAAGUCGAGUGUGAAAUCCCCCGGGCUCAACCCGGGAACUGCGUCCGAUACUGGGAGGCUUGAAUCCGGGAGAGGGAUGUGGAAUUCCAGGUGUAGCGGUGAAAUGCGUAGAUAUCUGGAGGAACACCGGUGGCGAAGGCGGCAUCCUGGACCGGUACUGACGCUGAGGUGCGAAAGCGUGGGGAGCAAACAGG
rnacentral:rRNA from 1 species